CUCAUGUCUAUAUUUAUAUUAAACAGCUAAGGGAAUUAUAAUAGAAUUGCUUCAUUGGCAUGCGUGUUUCAUGCAAUCAAAGGUUGUCUGUUUAUUGUGAUUGUAAUACCAACAGGUUUCAAAACUGAACGUACCCCAUUCCCCAUCCCUC